UAAUGCUUGUUUAUGUGGUAACACUGGUGUAACACUUACUGUGAUGCCUGAUAACUUUCCUCCCCGCUAUAUUAAUGCUUGUUUAUGUGGUAACACUGGUUGAUGCCUGAUAACUUUCCUCCCCGCUAUAUUAAUGCUUGUUUAUGUGGUAACACUGGUUGAUGCCUGAUAGCUUUCCUCCCCGCUAUAUUAAUGCUUGUUUAUGUGGUAACACUGGUGGUGUCACUUACUGUGCCAGUCGGUAUACUUACAUAUUAAGCUUCAUAUCACCUACAAUACAUUGUCAGGCUAUGUAUACAAAAUCAAAGAAGUUCUUAAUGUUCUGUAAAUACCUUUGUCCACUUUUGAAAUCAAAUUAAUUAUAAUAAUUGCCAAUGCCAUGAAGGUUUUUUUCACUAAGCAUGACUUAUUAACUUUAAACACUAUCACUUGUUGCUCUAUUUGAUUAAAUUUUUGUACACAACAUGGCAGUGUUUGGUCUGACUAUUUAUGUUUACAUUGUCAUAAGGGCGAUUUGUGUCAUUUUAAGGGGUGUUGAUCUCAAGCAAGAGAGGUUUGCAUGCUUUAAGUUUGUUUCAUUUUAUGUUAAUGUACCGGUAAUAGAUGAAUUUCAUUUCACAAAAUGUUUCAUUUUAUGUUAAUGUACCGGUAAUAGAUGAAUUUCAUUUCACAAAAUGUUUCAUUUUAUGUUAAUGUACCGGUAAUAGAUGAAUUUCAUUUCAUUUGUGAAACUUAAGACUCCAUUAGAGGUAUCAUUUAUAUUACCGUCCUUGUGCAUAGAUAUUGAAGGUAGCAGUCAAGUCAUACUGCCAGUUUUGUCUAUUUUGAUAAUCUUUUCUAUAAAAUGGGGUAUGUAACAUUUUUGUGUUAAUUAUAACAUAUCCUAGACUACCAUACGGCUGUAUUUAGGCUAUAUUUAGGCUAUAUAUCCUAGACUACCAUACGUGUCUGUGUUGAGGUUAAAGUUAACUGAUGUCAGGUGUCUGUGUUGGGGUUAAAGUUAACUGAUGUCAGGUGUCUGUUGGGGUUAAAGUUAACUGAUGACAGGUGUCUGUGUUGAGGUUAAAGUUAACUGAUGUCAGGUGUCUGUGUUGGGGUUAAAGUUAACUGAUGUCAGGUGUCUGUGUUGGGGUUAAAGUUAACUGAUGUCAGGUGUCUGUGUUGGGGUCAAAGUUAACUGAUGUCAGGUGUCUGUGUUGAGGUUAAAGUUAACUGAUGUCAGGUGUCUGUGUUGGGGUUAAAGUUAACUGAUGUCAGGUGUCUGUGUUGGGGUUAAAAUUAACUGAUGUCAGGUGUCUGUGUUGGGGUUAAAGUUAACUGAUGUCAGGUGUCUGUGUUGGGGUUAAAGUUAACUGAUGUCAGGUGUCUGUGUUGGGGUUAAAUUUAACUGAUGUCAGGUGUCUGUGUUGGGGUUAAAGUUAACUGAUGUCAGGUGUCUGUGUUGGGGUUAAAGUUAACUGAUGUCAGAUGUCUGUUGGGGUUAAAGUUAACUGAUGUCAGGUGUCUGUGUUGGGGUUAAAGUUAACUGAUGUCAGGUGUCUGUGUUGGGGUUAAAGUUAACUGAUGACAGAUGUCUGUGUUGGGGUUAAAGUUAACUGAUGUCAGGUGUCUGUGUUGGGGUUAAAGUUAACUGAUGUCAGGUGUCUGUGUUGGGGUUAAAGUUAACUGAUGUCGGGUGUCUGAGUUGGGGUUAAAUUUAACUGAUGUCAGGUGUCUUUACUGGGGUUAAAGUUAACUGAUGUCAGGUGUCUGUGUUGAGGUUAAAGUUAACUGAUGUCAGGUGUCUUUACUGGGGUUAAAGUUAACUGAUGUCAGGUGUCUUUACUGGAGUUAAAAUUAACUGAUGUCAGGUGUCAUUACUGGGGUUAAAAUUAACUGAUGUCAGGUGUCUGUGUUGGGGUUAAAGUUAACUGAUGUCAGGUGUCUGUGUUGAGGUUAAAUUUAACUGAUGUCAGGUGUCUGUGUUGGGGUUAAAGUUAACUGAUGUCAGGUGUCUGUGUUGGGGUUAAAGUUAACUGAUGUCAGGUGUCUGUGUUGGGGUUAAAUUUAACUGAUGUCAGGUGUCUGUGUUGGGGUUAAAGUUAACUGAUGUCAGGUGUCUGUGUUGGGGUUAAAGUUAACUGAUGUCAGAUGUCUGUUGGGGUUAAAGUUAACUGAUGUCAGGUGUCUGUGUUGGGGUUAAAGUUAACUGAUGUCAGGUGUCUGUGUUGGGGUUAAAGUUAACUGAUGACAGAUGUCUGUGUUGGGGUUAAAGUUAACUGAUGUCAGGUGUCUGUGUUGGGGUUAAAGUUAACUGAUGUCAGGUGUCUGUGUUGGGGUUAAAGUUAACUGAUGUCGGGUGUCUGAGUUGGGGUUAAAUUUAACUGAUGUCAGGUGUCUUUACUGGGGUUAAAGUUAACUGAUGUCAGGUGUCUGAGUUGGGGUUAAAGUUAACUGAUGUCAGGUGUCUGUGUUGGGGUUAAAGUUAACUGAUGUCAGGUGUCUGUGUUGGGGUUAAAGUUAACUGAUGUCAGGUGUCUGUGUUGGGGUUAAAUUUAACUGAUGUCAGGUGUCUGUGUUGGGGUUAAAGUUAACUGAUGUCAGGUGUCUGUGUUGGGGUUAAAGUUAACUGAUGUCAGAUGUCUGUUGGGGUUAAAGUUAACUGAUGUCAGGUGUCUGUGUUGGGAUCAAAGUUAACUGAUGUCAGGUGUCUGUGUUGGGGUUAAAGUUAACUGAUGUCAGGUGUCUGUGUUGGGGUUAAAGUUAACUGAUGUCAGGUGUCUGUGUUGGGGUUAAAGUUAACUGAUGUCAGGUGUCUGUGUUGGGGUUAAAGUUAACUGAUGUCAGGUGUCUGUGUUGGGGUUAAAGUUAACUGAUGUCGGGUGUCUGAGUUGGGGUUAAAUUUAACUGA